CAAAACUUGACAAGCGAGUGGGAGGAGAACCGAAGGGGAAAAGGAGAAAGAAAGAACACACCACCAACAAUUAAAAAUCGCCUUUGUAUUUUUUGGAACGUCUCGGUGGAAAUAGUGAGCUCGGGAAAUCACGGAUAUUUUUGCAUUUUGAGGCUUUCGAGAUUGUAGAUUGGAAUUUGCAUAUGAAAGUGGGUGAAUUUGAGGUGAUUCAAGGCAAUUUGUGAUAUUAUUUGGUGAUUUUGAGCUGUGGCUGUGUAGGAUCAUUGGGAACAUAUUGGAACUUGAAGGGGGAAGGAAAAGGAGACCAAUUCCCGCCAAAAAAAAAGUACAAUCUGAUUCGGCGGAUUUUCCGGAGAAGAAGCUAGCAAGGCAGCUCGAUUUUACGGCCGCUUUUGGCGGGAUUUCUGCCGUUGCUGUAGUUUUCCCAGAAAACCUGCAAUCCAAACAAGGGAUGGAUGUCGCUUCGUGGUCGCCUGCAGCAGCUUCAGUUAAUCAGCAACAGCAGCCACAGAUAAAGCAACAGGUAGCGGCGACUAUUUCUGUGGCUGCCGGGCAAUCUCAUCCUCUAACUACAGCAUCUUCGAGUAUUGUAAAACCAGAAUCCCUAAAAGCUAAAACAAGACCAAAUGAACUAAAUGAUGAGGCUCCAAAGAAGCAGAAGCACUCUAACUGUAAACAUUCUCGGUGUCUAAAACUGUACUGUGAAUGCUUUUCAUCUGGCAUGUAUUGUGAUGAGUGCAAUUGUGUUAAUUGUUAUAACAAUGUUGAGUAUGAAGCUGUGAGACGAGAUUCUGUUGGAGCAACUUUGAAGAGCAAUCUAAAUGCUUUCAGGCCAAAAAUUAAUAGCAGUUCACAUGGUGCAAAAGAUAACAAGGAGGCUGGGGAAGUUUUGAUGCUGGGAAAGCACAGCAAAGGAUGCCAUUGUAAAAGAUCUGGGUGUCUUAGAAAGUACUGUGAGUGUUUCCAAGCCAACAUUCUUUGCUACGAAAGCUGCAAAUGCAUGGGCUGCAAAAAAUUUAAGGGGAGCGAAGAGAGACAGGCUCUAUUUCAUGGUGACUAUGCCAACAAUAUGGCAUACAUCCAGCAGGCAGCAAAUGCUACCACAACUGGAGCAAUUGGGUCAUCUGGUUAUGCAUCUGCCCCAGUGUCUAAGAAGAGAAAAAGUCAGGAAUUCCUUUUGGGGUCAACUGCCAAGGAUCCAUCUGUUCACAGUCUUGGACAUUUGCAACAGACAAAUCUUGUCAGAGCUUCUAUUCCCUCCUCUUCCUUGUCUUCUAUGUCAGUUUCUUGUGCUGGUACUGCAGUAGGCCCAUCAAAAUUAUCAUAUAGGUCUCUGUUAGCGGACAUUAUUCAAAAGCAGGACUUGAAGGAGCUUUGCUCUGUUUUGGUAGUUCUAUCCAGAGAAGCUGCAAAGAUACUUGCAGACCAGAGAAGUUUGAUUGAAGGGGCAGAAGAUCACUCAGAAAUUUCCUUUGCAUCAUCUACUCAAGACAGGCUGGAAAGCCAGAAGGAUUUUAUUGCUGAAAAAACCAGGGCUGACAAUUGUUCGAGUGCGAACCAGGCUGUUAAAUCUGGCCCUGAGAAUUCUUGCACAGAUGUUGCUGAUAUGCCAGAGGGAAGCCUUAUGUCUCCAGGAACUUUGGCAUUGAUGUGUGAUGAACAAGACACAACGUUCACAGCAGCUGUUUCACAAUUGCCUUGUGGAAAGGGCAUGAUAGAGAUUGAUGCAGAGCAUGAAAGAGUUGUUUUGACAAAGUUCCGAGAUUGUCUUAAUAGGCUUAUCACUUUUGGAGAAAUAAAGGGAAUGUGUUGUUCAACAUUAGCUAGAAUGGAGAUAGGUAGUCAAAGAUGCCCACUCAGCCAUAGAGCUGAGACUGGGAAUCAACAAGGAUUCGUUAACUAUGGAGUUCCGAAAACUUUCUUUUCACCUACAGUGAGAACAUCUAAGACGGCUGCUGUGGUAGCAACUGCUGAUAAUGAUCUCCCUACAGUUCCACCCUUUCCUGGAAAUGGGGAUGCUAAAUCUAAACCAGCCAAACAGAUGUAAAGACCCCACAGUUGGCCUGAGGUGGGAUGUAUGCUGGCAGGCACACCAUGAAUUCUGUUAAUGAAAAUAUAAUAAGAGGAGCUAGUUUUGUCAGUAAGUAACCGGCCUUUUUCCAGAAAAAGGUAAGAAACACAAGAUCACGGGGCUGCAAUGCAAUUUUGUCAUCUUCCUUUCGUACGUCCCCUUCGUGCCAUUGAGAUAUCGCCUUAAAGAGAAUCUCUCUUUAAUGACUAUAUGUUUCUUUUGGGACUAUUUCAAUCAACACACCCCAAACCUCUGUAUCUAUUUUCUCUCACUUUCAAACUUCUAAUCAGGAGAAAUUCAAAAUUGUUGAAUAUCGACAAGAGGAUUUUUAAAAGAACAAAAUGGUUCCUUUCCUUCAUUAUCUUCACUAGCUUUUAAAUUUAGCUCAGCUAUCCUAUCCUUACUGGUGACCAUCAUCAUCAGUUAGCUCUACUUUUGGAACACAAGAAACUAAGAGAAGAAUGCAUAUUACUGAAAUGUUUUCUUCUCCGAAGAAAGAAGAUGAUGAUUCAGGCCAAGGCUUUCGUUUUGACAAGUCUCUC